GCAGCAGUUCUCACCAAGUACAGACCCCAGAUCUAUGACGCAACCAGUUGUGUUGAGCUUACAUUACUUAAUCAUGUACACUAGAGUCAAUAUCGUCUUCAGCAGAAACAUCCACUGAACUUCCUCGUCUUAAUGCAGGUUCGAUAGUCAUACAUAGAUUCAAGACCAACGGAUCUCCCUUUGGUUGUUUGGAAGAGAUGCAACAAGCAUGCAGAAUCAGAUUCCUCAGCUACCAAACAGAGGGAGAUAAUGUUGAUUAUUGAAUGAUAAAGUUCAGGGGAAGAAAGAGUUUGAAACAACGGUUGCCACCCUUUCCUAUUUUUUCACUCCCUGUUUUUCUUUUCUUACAUAUGAUAUUCAAAUUAAGAAAUAAGAAAUAUAGUAGUAUAAAUUUUUAGUCAGAUGUCCACCCUUCUAUACAAAACUCUUCCACUUAAUACAAACUAAUUAACUAAUCUAAGUCUUAAAAAUCGAGAUUUAAAAAUGAACCUAAGAAUUAAUCUUCCAAUUUUGAUUGGUUGUUAUGAGUUUGGUUUAUGUGCUAUUUAUGUAUAAAUAUACCCUCUCCUCUAAUUCCUUAUCAUUUACAACCAGCUCUACCACAAGCCAUUAAAACAUAUUAGCACAGUUUAAAUCUCGAGAUUUCCAUUUUAAUCUUCAAUCUUUUUUCAGUUUCCUUAUAUAAAUUUAGGAAAGUAGAGAGAUUCAUCCCUCUUUUUCCAGAAGAGAGAGGAAGAGGAAAUAACAGGCAAUUGAAUACAUUUUCUCUUCCCUCUUUCUUCUUCAUCUUCUAUACAUACAAUUAUCUGUACGUAUAGGUUGUCGUUGUUUUGUUUAAAAAUUAGUUUUUGGUAAUUGAACUAUGGGCACGCAAGUGUUGAGACCUCAGGAUUGUUUGACUCACCGGAUCGGAGUCCCUCCGCCGGCGUUUCAUCGCCGGAACACCAGUUUUAAUGGAUUUAAGAGCGGUAUUCCGAAGGUUAAUAGGCCGGUGAUUAGGUCGGAUCGUCCGGUGCAAUUGAGAAACUCGGAGCAGAGGAAGAGAUCGCCGGUACAAUUGAGAAACUCACCGGAGCAAAGGAAGAGGUCUCCGGUACAAUUGAGACGCUCGCCGGAGAAAAAGCGAUCAUCAGAGCCAAUUAGUUUCUCGAAACGAUCGGCGAGCGCCGGAGAUUUGACGUACAAACAAAAUCAGAUCGGUAACAACAAUAAAAACCUUCUCGUCGCCGAAAAGGUGAGAAUUUUACGGCGCGGUGAAUCGCUGGUAUCGAUCACGGCGGCGAAUGAGGAUAACGGCGGUGAAAUGGCGGUGUACGGAACCGGAAGGUUAGGUCCAGAUCCGGAAACUGUAACGAAGCAGGUUCGGGUCGGGUUACCAGACGUAUAUGCCGGAUCGGCGGUGACGAUGUCGCCGUCGCCAAGAGCUUUACCGGUGCCGUCGUUUUUCAAAAAAGGCGGUGGAGGUCAGAAGUUAGUUGAUGAUUCGGCGACGAAAGAUUUGCGGCGAUUGCUCCGAUUGGACUCAAAUUGAAAUAACAAAGUAGAAUCAUAAAAACGACUAAUAUUUUCAGAUAUAUUUAAAACAACUUUCCAUAUUUAAUUUUUUGAUAAAUGUGGGGAGAAAAUAUGUAUCUGAAAAUGUUGUCUUGUUAAUAUUCUACUAACAUUGUAAAAUCACACACACACACAUAAUACAAGAAUUAAUAUCUAUGUUAUAUUGUGGCAACAUGCUGUGAGAAGUGUAGUUUGUACUAUCAAUUAUCAUUGUAUAUGAUAUGAAUUUUACAUGCACCAUAAGAGCUUGGGGUUAAAUAUAUCAUUCUUUUCUGCCAUUUAUACUCUUUCUAUUGUG